UACGUAGGGGGCAAGCGUUGUCCGGAAUUAUUGGGCGUAAAGAGCGCGUAGGCGGUCCGAUAAGUCGGCUGUGAAAGUCCGGGGCUCAACCCUUGGAAGCCGGCCGAUACUGUCGGACUAGAGUCCGGAAGAGGCAAGUGGAAUUCCCGGUGUAGCGGUGAAAUGCGCAGAUAUCGGGAGGAACACCAAUGGCGAAGGCAGCUUGCUGGGACGGUACUGACGCUGAGGCGCGAAAGCGUGGGGAGCAAACAGG
rnacentral:rRNA from 1 species